UCUUAUAUCACGACAAGGUAUAGGAUGGUCCUUGGGCAACGUGAGGUAAAACGUUGUAUCAUCACUAGGGCUCAUAGUGGUGGUUGUCGGUUAAAGAAUCUCCCACAAAAGUUAUAUUACUUUUAUAUAAGUAAAGUUGAGUUUGUUAUUGUUUUAUCAUUAACGAGCUAAGUUGUUUACAUUGUUUUACAAGCUUUAUAUGUAUUACAUAUGUCCUAUUGCUUUACAUUUGAGUUCAUUUAUCCAUGAGUCGAACACAACCAAGGUAAGUGUUCUCUUGUACUCC
rnacentral:lncRNA from 1 species